rnacentral:rRNA from 1 species
CAGCCGCCGCGGGAACACAGAGGGUGCAAGCGUUAAUCGGAAUUACUGGGCGUAAAGCGCGCGUAGGUGGUUUGUUAAGUUGGAUGUGAAAUCCCCGGGCUCAACCUGGGAACUGCAUCCAAAACUGGCAAGCUAGAGUAUGGUAGAGGGUGGUGGAAUUUCCUGUGUAGCGGUGAAAUGCGUAGAUAUAGGAAGGAACACCAGUGGCGAAGGCGACCACCUGGACUGAUACUGACACUGAGGUGCGAAAGCGUGGGGAGCAAACAGGAUUAGAUACCCCCGUAGUCCCUGUCUCUUAUAC